rnacentral:lncRNA from 1 species
GUCUCCUCUUCACCAUGCCAUUUCUUGAAAAAGAGGAAAACAGUGAACCUGUGCUGAUGAAAAAUGAAACACGCCUGCAAAUCUUAAAGAACAAGGAGCAGAGAAAGAGACUUGUUCAUGAAAUUUGUACUUUUUUAGAUAGCAGCCAGUCUAACUCGAGACUUCGAUAUAAGACAAAGGAUUGGGCAUUAAAGAAAGAAGAAUAUGAAAAUGAGAUUGAGAGGCUGUCUAGUGAGAUAUCAAAUUACUUAAAUGUCACCAAUUUUUGGUAUCAAGACACAGAGCUUCUUAAUGAUGAGCAUAAUAAUAUACCAAGGGAACAGGCAAACAAUGUAGGCACUCAGACAGAGGGCGCCCUUGGACCAGCAAAAAGGAACAAUAAAGUGAAGGAAUUCCAUGGGGACUGGAACAACCUCCAGGAAUUGAUGCAGAGUGAGAGGAGCAGAACCAGGAAAACAUUGUACACAGAGAUGGAUACACUGUGGCACAAUAGAAUGUAA